UGGGGAAUAUUUGACAAUGGGCGCAAGCCUGAUCCAGCCAUGCCGCGUGAGUGAUGAAGGCCCUAGGGUUGUAAAGCUCUUUCACCGGUGAAGAUAAUGACGGUAACCGGAGAAGAAGCCCCGGCUAACUUCGUGCCAGCAGCCGCGGUAAUACGAAGGGGGCUAGCGUUGUUCGGAUUUACUGGGCGUAAAGCGCACGUAGGCGGACUAUUAAGUCAGGGGUGAAAUCCCGGGGCUCAACCCCGGAACUGCCUUUGAUACUGGUAGUCUUGAGUUCGAGAGAGGUGAGUGGAAUUCCGAGUGUAGAGGUGAAAUUCGUAGAUAUUCGGAGGAACACCAGUGGCGAAGGCGGCUCACUGGCUCGAUACUGACGCUGAGGUGCGAAAGCGUGGGGAGCAAACAGG
rnacentral:rRNA from 2 species